rnacentral:misc_RNA from 1 species
UCUCCGUUGGUGAACCAGCGGAGGGAUCAUUACAGGACUCGCAAGACUCCUACAACCCUGUGAACUUAACUAUAAGCACGUUGCUUCGGCGGGUGUCUCGGAGGGGGUUCUCCCUCCCCGAGACGCUAAACCCGCCGGCAGCCUACUAUACUCUGUCUCUUUGCGUUGGCAACUCGAGUACAAUCAAACAAGUUAAAACUUUCAACAACGGAUCUCUUGGUUCUG